CUGCAGAAGAAGCACCGGCUAACUACGUGCCAGCAGCCCGCGGUAAUACGUAGGGUGCGAGCGUAUCCGGAAAUUAUUGGGCGUAAAGAGCUCGUAGGCGGUUUGUCGCGUCUGUCGUGAAAGUCCGGGGCUUAACCCCGGAUCUGCGGUGGGUACGGGCAGACUAGAGUGCAGUAGGGGAGACUGGAAUUCCUGGUGUAGCGGUGGAAUGCGCAGAUAUCAGGAGGAACACCGAUGGCGAAGGCAGGUCUCUGGGCUGUAACUGACGCUGAGGAGCGAAAGCAUGGGGAGCGAACAGGAUUAGAUACCCUGGUAGUCCAUGCCGUAAACGUUGGGCACUAGGUGUGGGGACCAUUCCACGGUUUCCGCGCCGCAGCUAACGCAUUAAGUGCCCCGCCUGGGGAGUACGGCCGCAAGGCUAAAACUCAAAGGAAUUGACGGGGGCCCGCACAAGCGGCGGAGCAUGCGGAUUAAUUCGAUGCAACGCGAAGAACCUUACCAAGGCUUGACAUGUUCUCGAUCGCCGUAGAGAUACGGUUUCCCCUUUGGGGCGGGUUCACAGGUGGUGCAUGGUUGUCGUCAGCUCGUGUCGUGAGAUGUUGGGUUAAGUCCCGCAACGAGCGCAACCCUCGUUCCAUGUUGCCAGCACGUAGUGGUGGGGACUCAUGGGAGACUGCCGGGGUCAACUCGGAGGAAGGUGAGGACGACGUCAAAUCAUCAUGCCCCUUAUGUCUUGGGCUUCACGCAUGCUACAAUGGCCGGUACAAUGGGUUGCGAUACUGUGAGGUGGAGCUAAUCCCAAAAAGCCGGUCUCAGUUCGGAUUGGGGUCUGCAACUCGACCCCAUGAAGUCGGAGUCGCUAGUAAUCGCAGAUCAGCAACGCUGCGGUGAAUACGUUCCCGGGCCUUGUACACACCGCCCGUCAAGUCACGAAAGUUGGUAACACCCGAAGCCGGUGGCA
rnacentral:rRNA from 1 species